CAGCGCCGCGGGAAUACGAAGGGUGCAAGCGUUAAUCGGAAUUACUGGGCGUAAAGCGUGCGUAGGCGGUGAGUUAAGUCUGCUGUGAAAUCCCCGGGCUCAACCUGGGAAUGGCAGUGGAUACUGGCUCGCUAGAGUGUGUCAGAGGAUGGUGGAAUUCCCGGUGUAGCGGUGAAAUGCGUAGAGAUCGGGAGGAACAUCAGUGGCGAAGGCGGCCAUCUGGGACAACACUGACGCUGAGGCACGAAAGCGUGGGGAGCAAACAGGAUUAGAUACCCCAGUAGUCCCUGUCUCUUAUACC
rnacentral:rRNA from 1 species